CCUACGGGUGGCAGCAGUGGGGAAUAUUGGACAAUGGGCGAAAGCCUGAUCCAGCCAUGCCGCGUGUGUGAAGAAGGCCUUCGGGUUGUAAAGCACUUUCAGUGGGGAAGAAAGCCUUGGGGCUAAUACCCUCGAGGAAGGACAUCACCCACAGAAGAAGCGCCGGCUAACUCCGUGCCAGCAGCCGCGGUAAUACGGAGGGUGCGAGCGUUAAUCGGAAUUACUGGGCGUAAAGCGCGCGUAGGCGGUCUGAUAAGCCGGUUGUGAAAGCCCCGGGCUCAACCUGGGAACGGCAUCCGGAACUGUCAGGCUAGAGUGCAGGAGAGGAAGGUAGAAUUCCCGGUGUAGCGGUGAAAUGCGUAGAGAUCGGGAGGAAUACCAGUGGCGAAGGCGGCCUUCUGGACUGACACUGACGCUGAGGUGCGAAAGCGUGGGUAGCAAACAGGAUUAGAUACCCCAGUAGUC
rnacentral:rRNA from 1 species